AMAAGGGUMUUUAACCCGRYCCAGUUUUYCCCMARGGCCCCCCYUWWARGGGRGSMWWAUUUUUUUYKSWRRRAMCCUUAGAGUUUGAUCCUGGCUCAGAACGAACGCUSKYGGCGUGCUUAACACAUGCAAGUCGAACGUGAUCCGGAGCUUGCUCCGGUGAAAGUGGCGCACGGGUGAGUAACGCGUGGAUAAUCUGCCCUGGUAUCUGGGAUAACAUCUCGAAAGGGGUGCUAAUACCGGAUAAGCCUACGGACUCUUCGGAGUCUGCAGGAAAAGGUGGCCUCUAUUUAUAAGCUACCGUAUCAGGAUGAGUCCSCGUACCAUUAGCUAGUUGGUGGGGUAAUGGCCCACCAAGGCUACGAUGGUUAGCUGGUCUGAGAGGAUGAUCAGCCACACUGGAACUGAGACACGGUCCAGACUCCUACGGGAGGCAGCAGUGGGGAAUUUUGCGCAAUGGGGGAAACCCUGACGCAGCAACGCCGCGUGAGUGAUGAAGGCUUUCGGGUCGUAAAGCUCUGUCAGAGGGGAAGAAAUGAGACUGGCUAAUAUCCAGUUUUCUUGACGGUACCCUCAAAGGAAGCACCGGCUAACUCCGUGCCAGCAGCCGCGGUAAUAC
rnacentral:rRNA from 1 species